UACGGAGGGUGCAAGCGUUAUCCGGAUUCACUGGGUUUAAAGGGUGCGUAGGUGGGCAGGUAAGUCAGUGGUGAAAUCUCUGGGCUUAACCCGGAAACUGCCGUUGAUACUAUCUGUCUUGAAUGUAGUGGAGAUGAGCGGAAUAUGUCAUGUAGCGGUGAAAUGCUUAGAUAUGACAUAGAACACCCAUUGCGAAGGCAGCUCGCUACACUAUUAUUGACACUGAGGCACGAAAGCGUGAGGAUCAAACAGG
rnacentral:rRNA from 1 species